AUUCCCCUAGUAACGGCGAGUGAAGCGGGAACAGCUCAAAUUUGAAAUCUGGCCCUUGGGUCCGAGUUGUAAUUUGCAGAGGAUGCUUUUGGUGCGGUGCCUUCCGAGUUCCCUGGAACGGGACGCCUUAGAGGGUGAGAGCCCCGUACGGUUGGACACCAAGCCUAUGUAAAGCUCCUUCGACGAGUCGAGUAGUUUGGGAAUGCUGCUCAAAAUGGGAGGUAUAUUUCUUCUAAAGCUAAAUAUUGGCCAGAGACCGAUAGCGCACAAGUAGAGUGAUCGAAAGAUGAAAAGCACUUUGAAAAGAGGGUUAAAUAGCACGUGAAAUUGUUGAAAGGGAAGGAUUUAUGACCAGACUUUUUCUGGGGGGAUCAUCCGGUGUUCUCACCGGUGCACUUCCCCCAGUUGAGGCCAGCAUCGGUUUCUGUCGAGGGAUAAAAGCUUUAGGAAUGUGGCUCCUUUCGGGGAGUGUUAUAGCCUGUUGCAUAAUACCUUGACGGGGACCGAGGUUCGCGCAUUGCAAGGAUGCUGGCGUAAUGGUUAUUAAUCACCCGUCU
rnacentral:rRNA from 1 species